rnacentral:tRNA from 1 species
GGGGGGUUGGGGUAGCCUGGCAUCCUACCAGCUUCGGGAGUUGGUGACACGCGUUCGAAUCGCGUACCCCCCA